AACACAUGCAAGUCGAGCGCUCUCUUCGGAGGGAGCGGCGGACGGGUUAGUAACGCGUGGGAACGUACCCUUCUCUAAGGAAUAGCCACUGGAAACGGUGAGUAAUACCUUAUACGCCCUUCGGGGGAAAGAUUUAUCGGAGAAGGAUCGGCCCGCGUUAGAUUAGAUAGUUGGUGGGGUAAUGGCCUACCAAGUCUACGAUCUAUAGCUGGUUUUAGAGGAUGAUCAGCAACACUGGGACUGAGACACGGCCCAGACUCCUACGGGAGGCAGCAGUGGGGAAUCUUGGACAAUGGGCGCAAGCCUGAUCCAGCCAUGCCGCGUGUGUGAUGAAGGCCUUAGGGUCGUAAAGCACUUUCGCCAGAGAUGAUAAUGACAGUAUCUGGUAAAGAAACCCCGGCUAACUCCGUGCCAGCAGCCGCGGUAAUACGGAGGGGGUUAGCGUUGUUCGGAAUUACUGGGCGUAAAGCGCACGUAGGCGGAUCAGAAAGUAAGGGGUGAAAUCCCAGGGCUCAACCCUGGAACUGCCUCUUAAACUCCUGGUCUAGAGUUCGAGAGAGGUGAGUGGAAUUCCGAGUGUAGAGGUGAAAUUCGUAGAUAUUCGGAGGAACACCAGUGGCGAAGGCGGCUCACUGGCUCGAUACUGACGCUGAGGUGCGAAAGUGUGGGGAGCAAACAGGAUUAGAUACCCUGGUAGUCCACACCGUAAACGAUGAAUGCCAGACGUCAGCAAGCAUGCUUGUUGGUGUCACACCUAACGGAUUAAGCAUCC
rnacentral:rRNA from 1 species